rnacentral:rRNA from 1 species
GCGGCAAGAGCUCAAAUUUGAAAGCUGGCUCCUUCGGGGUCCGCAUUGUAAUUUGUAGAGGAUGCUUCGGGAGCGGUCCCCAUCUAAGUGCCCUGGAACGGGACGUCAUAGAGGGUGAGAAUCCCGUAUGGGAUGGGGUGUCCGCGCCCGUGUGAAGCUCCUUCGACGAGUCGAGUUGUUUGGGAAUGCAGCUCUAAAUGGGUGGUAAAUUUCAUCUAAAGCUAAAUAUUGGCCGGAGACCGAUAGCGCACAAGUAGAGUGAUCGAAAGAUGAAAAGCACUUUGAAAAGAGAGUUAAAAAGCACGUGAAAUUGUUGAAAGGGAAGCGCUUGCGACCAGACUCGCUCGCGGGGUUCAGCCGGCAUUCGUGCCGGUGUAUUUCCCCGCGGGCGGGCCAGCGUCGGUUUGGGCGGUCGGUCAAAGGCCCUCGGAAGGUAACGCCCCUAGGGGCGUCUUAUAGCCGAGGGUGCAAUGCGACCUGCCUAGACCGAGGAACGCGCUUCGGCUCGGACG